UAACAGGAAUCGCAGUUCAUUCAGGAGAUUCGUUCGUCUGGCUGGCAUGCACAACAAGCCAGUUCUGGUCACCGGCUCCUCGGACUUGGAGAGGAGCUAGAGGUGCACCUUGUUAUGCCAUCACUCAAGAGCAACAGACUACUUCUACAAACGAGGCUACACUUGUGGCAGCACCUAUUCCUGUGGCCCCCCCAUCUUCUGCACCACUUCCUGUGGCCUCCCCUCCACCAUUCCCUGAGGCUUAUCGUCCACCUUCACCACACUCUUCUGUUGAUGUUGGUGAUGACAAUGAUGUUGACCUCCAAACACUGCUGAAGUUAAUGAGAUGCCAACCAAAUGAACGUGGGAUGCUGACGGUAAAGGGGCAGCUGAUGAGGGUGGUCCCUCAUGAGAAUUUCCCCAGCUGCUAAUGAGUGCCAUCCAUUCCUCUGCAAUAUUUGAGGGACCUGAUUGACAAAAAUGCCUUUCUUGCAACUCUCAAGCACUCUAUGAUGGCGUAUACAAGCAGGUGGGCCGCAUGAUUGCUGUCUGUCUGGUACAUGGGGGUGUAGAGACACCAUUUUUUCAGAGAGGCUAUACAGGCAAGUGUGUGGCCUAAAACCUCCUGUGCCAGAACUGAAAGAAAUUGCGGAAUAUGACUUCAGAGAGAAGUUGGAGAAGGGGGGAACACAUACUCUUUAACCAUGGAGAAGGUUUUCGUUUUCACUUCAGGGGCUUCAGCAUUCCUAGGCUGGGAUUGCCAGUGGAGCCACAACUACAGUUCUCUGCAACCGCACAGCAAGCGGUACCGGAGCGCCAAGUCUAGGUCCAAGAGGCUUCUAAACAGCUUCUACCCCCAAGCCAUAAGACUACUGAACAUCUAAUCAAAUGGCUACCCAGACUAUUUUCUGCUACUCUAUCUAUGCAUAGUCACUUUAAUAUCUCUACCUAUAUGUAUAUAUGACUAACCAGUGCCCCCGCACAUUCUCUGUACCUGUACUCCCCCUGUAUAUAGCUUCACUAUUGUUAUUUUCCUGAUGCUCUUUAAUUAUUUACUUUUUUUUUUUUUUUGUAGCUGCAUUGUUGUUUAAGGGCUUGUAAGUAAGCAUUUCACUGUAAGGUCUACACCUGUUGUAUUUGGUGCAUGUGACAAAGACAAUUUGAUUUGAUUUAAAGAAUUCAUUUAAGGGGAAUUAUCCAAAACGUUUAUUGCAUGACCACCUAGUAAAUUCGGAAUACUGCAGCCAAUGUUAAUUGAUGUGCUAGCUAGCUGACUUCUGUGGCUAGCUACCAUAGGUGAGAACGGGGGUUGAAAAUGCUUCGAGGGAAUCCAAAAGUGAAGGUGGAGGUAGGGGACGAUUAUGGCCAAGGAGGUGCGUGUGCAUGGACGUCGGAGGAUCUGGCUGAGGAGAUCGCCAGGACGUCGGAGCCCAGAGGCCGCUUGAGGGAGGACGUUAGAGUGAUGGUUGCUGAAGCGGGCAUGAGUGCUUCAUUGACUGUGCUUCGCGCGGAUUCUGGUGGGCGGACCGAAGGGGUGACGUCGACGAGGAAUCUGGGGCUCAGGAUGUAAACAAACAUGGCGGCGCCCAGCUCCCGGCUGUGUCCGUAUCUGUUAAGACCCCGACGUAUUCCGGUAAGGCGGAUUGGGAAGCUUUUCAUGCUCAGUUUGAACUGUUAGCUCAUUUUAGGGGAUGAUCACGGAUGAUGCUCUGGCCUGUUUGAUAUUGAUUAGCCCCGAGGACAGACGUGAUUAUGGUGCUUCAGUGGGAGCACUGAGGAGGCGCUAUGGACUGUAUGUACAGCCCGGCUGCUGCGCUCCGAACUGAGUAAUAGACGCAGGCAGCCUGGAGAGCCUCUACGGGUGCUAGCUAAUGACAUUAAGAGCCUCUCUCGGCCGGCAUAUGCUCACAUGCCCCCCUCCGUGCAGAGCGAGCUAGCACGGGACCAGUUCAUACAGGCGCUCUCCUACGGAGCUGCGCAUACAGACCCAGCUGGCUCAUCCUGAGUCAUUGCCGAUAGCUUUGGAGAGGGAGCUGGUGUGGGCUGGGGCUUUGGUGGGGGUGCAGGGAGACAGACCCUCUGUGCGGGCUGGGGGGCAGAGCAGCCCAGACCUGGAAAAGCCUGCAUGGGUGGCUGAAAUGACAGAACUCAUAGCGUGCUGUGUCGCUACCCUAGUCCCAGGGUCUGCUGGGGUUGUUGCCAGCCAGGCCAUCUGCGCAGGGGUUGCCCCUUGUCCCCCAGAGCUCAGGGAAACGGCUCGGGGUCCGCAUAGACCGGGUAGUGUGGACCCCUGGCUUUCUUUCCCAACCACCAUCUUCUUCAGGAGGAGCCCACCGGCCCAGACGGGGAAGCAAGGCUCCACUUCCCCCAGAAGCAGACGAGGGCAAGCGGAUGGAGCCUGUCGUUGUGAUGGGCCGGACCUGUGUUGGAGACUUUUGUCAUGUCCCUGUCACUGUGGAGGGUGUUCCCUGCUCUGCCCUGGUUGACACUGGGUCCACAGUAACCCUGGUGAGGCCGGAUAUUGUGCCAGGUUGGACUCAGUGUGAACCCACAACUGUGCAGCUCCGCACAGUCACAGGUGAGCUGGCACCCAUGAAAGGGAAGGGAAUAAUGACUCUGACAGUAGGGGGCAGGUCUGUGCGUCAUCCUGUGUGGGUGGCGGCUGUGCAGGACCCUUGCAUCCUGGGGUUGGACUUUCUUAGGCGCACAGGCUGGCAGUUAGACCUAAAUGGGGGAACACAGAGCUUCCAGGGAGGGCCGGCAGUCACCAUGGCCCCCCUAAUGUCACAUUCACUCAACCCAACAAACCCUUUACUCCAACAGUUAAAGCAGCAGAGACUCAUGGCUGCCCCCCCUCCCCCCACAUCUGUGUGACUUUUCCCCAGGCCCCCUGUCACCUACGGCUGUGCGUUACAUUCCCUCGGCUACCUCCACGACACAUCCCUCCGUGGCAGUUGCUGUUUGAAUUCAGAGACGGCUUUGCGCUGAGUGAGGAAGAGGUGGGUCAGACUCAUCUGGUGCAGCAUGAGAUCGACACAGGUGAUGCUUGACCCAUCAAGAUGCGUCCCCGCCGUAUCCCGCUGGCACGCCAGGAGGCGGCAGACAAGGCUGUGUUGAAAGGAGGGAGUAGUGUAACGACCCUGGGUUUAUAAGCGUGGAAAUCGACUCUGCCGCUCGAGCAUGCUUUUGCGGCACAGUCGAUAGCGCGCUGGACUUCGGGCUAGAAGGUCGAGGGUUCGAGACCUGCUGUUUCAUUACAUUGGUGUCAGAAGUGAUCGAACCUUGCAUCCACGACAGUGCGUGUGCUUGGCUGGUGAGCACGUUUCAAGACCUCCCUGCCUGUUUCAUUACAGUAUAUUUAGCAGCUGUAGGCGUUAACUUGACGUGUGCAGGACCGCUUGCAGCUGUUUAUUUAGCACAUGUUGAAAAAACGACUUUAUAUCGGUGUUAUAUGCAUGUUCACACGCGUAUCUGCCGUCUCAUUGACUAGAAUGGUCCCACUUCAACAGCUGAGGGAUAUACUGAUCGCCAAGGUGGAUUUCGUGGCAUUUUAUUGUGCAAGUGAUUAAUUGUACUGGCCAAAUGAGUCCAAGAAACUGGCCGUCGUAUCUGCGGGUGAAAGGUUCUUGGGUAUCCACGAUUUCACGGCUGAAACGUAAGGAAUACUGUCUGAAUAUGUUAUUCUUUCUCAGGCACCAGAGAGCCUGUAGCAAUCAGUUGUUUCAUUGUCAUUUGUUUAUUAUUUGGGAAGAAUGUGAUUUCUCUCCCCCUUUUUCUCUUAUUGUUUUAUUUGAUCUCGUAUACUACCCUGUACAGUGGGUGGCGGCAUGCACCUCUAACAUGUUUGCGUACCGCUAUAAUACCAUAGAAGAGUUGUCCCAACUGAUCGGUCAUGGCUAAAAGUUAAAUUAACGUCAAAAGUAGUUCAUUUUGCAUUUUAGCUAACUUUAACCUAAUUAUUCUAACCUGCUCCAGAAAGUAAAAUAUGACAAAACCCACCUGGUCUCUUCCUCGGGCCUGCCUUCCUUCUUUGAAGACAGAAAAACAGGAGAACUGUGCAAUGUCUGGAUAUGGAACGUCGGAAUCUACACCGAGAGAUUUGCCGACUAUCCUCAGGUGUUGUGAAGAGAAGGUUUGACUGGACGUUGUUACUGGGAGGCUGAGUGCGGUGGGAAAUCGUUUAAUGCAGGUGUGGCAUAUGAAGACAUGAGCAGGGUUGGAAAAGAGCUCAACUGUUUAUUUUGUUACAAUGACAAAUCCUGGAGCCUGAGACGCCUCAAACGUCGUUUCCUCAAACGCUGACAAAGUUGGGGUGUAGCUGAACUCCUCAAGGCAUUCUGUCCUAACAAGUCUACGACACACCUGCAUUUCACUCAACCUUCACUGAACCACUCUAUGCAAUACUGUCAGUCAGUGACUAUUCAUCAGUGUCUCCGUGCUUGGUCUCAAAUGAGGAGAAAAGGAGGAUGGCAGAUGGUUAAGAUAAUAUCCUGUUCGAGGGAGAGAUCAGUUGACUGAGAAAAUACAUUUGAAAAAAUUCACAAUAUUUUCCAUAAUGAUUUGAACAUUUCAAUGUUCUGAAUGACCUCCAUUCUUAACGUGUUUAUAUCGGAGGUCUUACUGUACACCUCAAACUAUUCAGAUUAACAGUAUACACCAUUCCAUGGUCUUAGUAAAAAAAAUGUUUUAAUAUUUUUAGAUGUGAUGCAUUUUUAUCUAAUAAAGUAAUUAACAUUUCUCAAGCACUUGACCCCAAACUCUGGUCUUCUUACCCCAAACCACCACACCUCUAACCCAGCAAGUAUGGGGAUAGUGAGAGAGAGCACACAGAGAUAGAGAAGCUGACAUAUGAAGUCAGCCAUGCUUGACUUGCACCGCACCAUCUGUCUCCCUCCAAAUUUUAAUGAGACACCAGGAAGGGGGGAGACUAGAGAAGAGGCUGGAUCCAUUCAAACAGACAUCUUGUUAGACUACAGCGCUUCUCCAAGGUAAUGGUCUGCUGGGUAUUUUUGCUGUAUAGUGGAUAGAUAGAAGUAGACUAACUUCAUGUUGCUGCUGUGUGUUGGAAGAAGGGAGGGGGUAUGGUGUGAGGUGCUUGUGUCUCGGCUUAACCUUCUCUAUUUCACAGGGGUCCCACACACCGCCGGCAUGAUUUGGACUUCUAACCCCUUUUAAACAUUGUGUGUUUGAGCUACAGACUUCUGGGUUGUACCAUUAGAUUUGUACCAUUGGAUUUGUCUAUGUCUCCUGCUUCAGCUUUGUGAUUGACAGGGGCCGAGCUAGAGCGGUGUUUGUGGGACAAGGGAAGAUCCCUAAGCGGCCCGGGGCUGGGUAGAGUUACCUAAAAGCGAUCUAUAAAAAUCUGACUCACAAACAUGCACGUAUCAUGUUUUUGACGCUCACAAGCUAAUUAGAAGUCGUUAGAAGGUAAGGGGUUAUCCUACAAAGAAGAUCAAAGGAAAUCCAAGGACAUAGUGCCUAUAAUAAACUCCAAACUGCACAGUUGUCACUGACUAGUUGGAUAUUCAUUUCCCACUGACCAAACAAUUUAUGUACAUACAGCAUUCAUAUAAAUACAUUCAGGUUUUUGCAUUGGCUGACUAUUAAAAAAUAUAUAUGCAUUAGUCAAAACUUGUCAAAUUGUUUAACUUGUAGCCCUGGUUGUCCUGAAAAUAAAAUGGUAAAACACUGAGGCUAAAUAUAAGGGCUGGACAUGCAGACAAAUGAAAGUCAUAAACGAAAAGACGAUUUUUGUUGGGGUCUCAAGACUGGUAAGUUUAGCCUUUUCUCUGCUGACAUUUAUGGAGAAAGCCACUCAUUAAAAAACGUCAAUCUACUACACAAUAGAGGAUUCACCACCGUCUCAGUAUAUUACAGAUUUUGUCCUUGCUUCAAGUGCUCCAUCUGAAGCUUCUAAGGAGCACUCAAUCUUAGAUCAUGUUCUUUCCCUUGUUCAUCCUUGCCUACACACUCUCUCAGAUUAUAUAACAGGGCAAAGCAAAAUCCAACUGAUAGGCUAAAUUUGCCUCUUGUCAUAAUCUGUCUUUAAUGAUGAGGAAUGGGCCAUGUUUUCAAAGACUUUUCCAGAGGCUGGUUUUACAUGAGCCCUAUGCAGUUAAUUACAGCUGUAUAACAAGUACCUCAAAGCUGAGUCCUCACACAAUAUAACUCCGCUCUUAUGUAUAAAAUAGGCUAGGUCUAUUCCUUAUUCCAUGUUUAGUCACAGCUACUAUCAAAUUCAAUCCCAACAUGUUAAGGAUAGCUUCAGACAUCUCAAACAUACAAUCUCUUGUGCCUCACUGAAGGAUGUAUCCUGCUCUGCAUAGCACCACAGAGACAAUGAGUGAUGACCAGGGACAGAGCACACCUUCGGGUUUCUCAAAAACAUUCCUCAUCCAAAGCAAGUCAGUCUUUGGGCAACAGGGGCAGGGGGACAACACAGACAUACAGUACUCCUAGGGGACAGUAGGGACACUGUGCUCUUUAGUGUCCCUAGUGGAUGCCAGGUGACCCUACUGAUCCACUGGGCUGCCUGCAUUACUGCAUAUGGGUCAAAGGUACACAAUUACACCAAAUAGACUAGAGCAGGGGUAUUCUUACCCUAGGAGGUAAUUGCACCCACCAGGUGCCCCAGGUCUAAACCAGUCCCUGAAUAGAGGGGAACAAUGGGAAAAAAAUCAAAGAAUCGAGUUUGAGGGGACUAAAGCAACAAACAGUUUUCAGUUCUUUAUUAACUGAAAAAGAGGAAUUGUCAAAUGUUAUAAGGCACAUAUUUUCGCAUCUGCACAGAUGUCAUACUGAGCGACCCAAAAGUCAAUGUUGUCAAUAACUUAAAAAGGUACAAAGUGUGUAGCGCUUGGAUUGUACAUGAAUAUAGUAUGUUCUCCUGUGUGACAUAUUCACAAUCUGUCUAGUACAAAAAUACCACAUUCAAAUCAGGACAAAAUCCUGAGUUGCUUUCAACUAUUCGAACAGACAGGACCAAUUGCUGGCGUGUGAAAAUACAUUAUUUCUUUUUGUAAUCGCACAUUUUUGGAUGUAUACAUUCUACAGACAUAGCUUGGACUACUGGCCUGAAAAACUGGCAAAUGCUCUCUGUCAUGUAACCUUAAAAAACACAUUGCUAAACAAUGCCAGUAGAUUCAUUUUGUCACACUUUAAUUAAAUGCUUCUUCAACCUUUCACCUGAAUAAAACAUCCCCAGAUCAAACUUGGCACGGUGUGUACUGACAGUCCUUUGGUAAACAGGAAAUUGAAAGUAAGACCGCACCAGAGCCAACAUGAAUCCCACUGUCGUUACAGAAUGAGUGAGAUGUAGCGGAUAAAAGUUCUGCCCUUGAGCUAACAUGGUUGUCUUAGUUGCCACACAUCUUCAUCCAUCAAAAAGGCACCUAUGAAGCCACUCCUGUAAUACUUCUCCAUUCAAUUUGAUAGUUUUGCAGCUCAAUUCUCUCAUGGCAAAAUGGCACUUGGCAGGAAGCUUCAAUUAAGACAAAUGGCAGGUCCAAGGACACAAGGAGAUAGUGAAGUGUGGGUGAGAGGAUGAAAUGAGUGACCUGAAAACUUGCCUAGUUAAAUAAAGAUAAAAAAUAAUAAAAAAAAAAAAAAAACAGCUAUAUGAGGGAUGAGUACAUUAAGCUGGGAGUCAGGGGGGGUCAUCCUUUGGGUGCAGCAAGUCUCUGGGUAAAUUGGGACCCAGUUCAUGGAGGCAGGGCUGAGGCAUACAUCCCCAGCGGGGCCCAGCCAUCCUAGAGCAGGACCCAAUUCAACCCCUACCCUUCCCCUUGGCCGAGAUCUAUUAGAUAGGAGCAAUAUGGUGGACGCUUUAGUACUACACUGCUCAGGGCUCUCCAACGCUGUUCCUGGACAGCUGCCGUCCUGUAGGUUCGCUCCAACGCUGUUCCUGGACAGCUGCCGUCCUGUAGGUUUGGAGUGAACCUACAGGAAGGUAGCUCUCGAGGAACAGGGUUGGAGAACGCUGACACUGCUUAUACCUAUUAAGACCCGACAGACAUGCUAACAUCAAGGGGUUAGGGCCAAGGGGAGGUAUGUGGAACCAGCCACUACUCUAUGGCCCUGGGCAUGGUGGCUACGUAAACGAAGACUACGAUGAGCAGCACCACCACAGCCAGCGUGGGUAGAACCACUGUGGCCACCUGUGACCGGGCCUCCUGCAUGGCCGCCUUACGCUCCUUCUUGUCCCUGGACGUCUCCUUCUUGGGCUUCCCCUUCAGCUGCCUCAUGGUGGCGCCCUCCCUGGGCGGGCACACUGCAACACUCCGUAGGGUCAGCCAAGACUCUCAGACAAGUCCUGCAGAUGCAGUGACAGUUACUGAAUCUACAGUUCUGAAGGUGCAGUCGGUGGUGGUCCACUUGCUCGCCAACACCACGCACCUGUGACCAGGAAGAGAACAUACAGUAUACAAAUCAGGCUAUGGCUAUGUAUUUUGAUUCGUUUAUUGGUACUUUGGGCUAUGUCUGACUAAGACUUAAGUGAGAGACAAGAGAACCAUAUUUUACAUUACUUAACCAUAUCUAUAUUACAGAGUUAGCCAAAUCCAAAUGAAGGAUCAUCCUAAACCACAAGAGUGUGGUCAAAAAUGACCAGUUCUAAAAUGCUACUAAAUGACCAUUAUACAGUUCAUCCUCCCUGGUUUCCCCCCUGCACGUCUAAUGGCAACGCUUCCACCGAAGAGAAAUGACACCAGUCGCUAUGACAACCGAACACAGGGCAGCAGAACCACUGCACACUGUUGUUGUUACUUAAUAUACAAAAAAAAAAAAACACUAUCCACUAACAAGGACAUUUUAGCAUAGCAACAGUUACAUAGUCACUUCAGACUAUGUAAAUAUGGGUUUUGAGUAAGACA
rnacentral:lncRNA from 1 species